AACGAACGCUGGCGGCAUGCCUAACACAUGCAAGUCGAACGAGACCUUCGGGUAUUGUGGCGCACGGGUGCGUAACGCGUGGGAACCUGCCCUUAGGUUCGGAAUAACUCCCCGCAAGGGGUGCUAAUACCGGAUAAUGUCUUCGGACCAAAGAUUUAUCGCCUUUGGAUGGGCCCGCGUUGGAUUAGCAAGUUGGUAGGGUAAAAGCCUACCAAGGCGACGAUCCAUAGCUGGUCUGAGAGGAUGAUCAGCCACACUGGGACUGGGACACGGCCCAGACUCCUACGGGAGGCAGCAGUGGGGAAUAUGAGACAAUGGGCGAAAGACUGAUCCAGCAGUGCCGCGUGAGUGAUGAAGGCCUUAGGGUUGUAAAGCUCUUUUACCCGGGAUGAUAAUGACGGUACCGGGAGAAUAAGCUCCGGCUAACUCCGUG
rnacentral:rRNA from 1 species